AUUGAACGCUGGCGGCAUGCCUUACACAUGCAAGUCGAACGGCAGCACGGGAGCAAUCCUGGUGGCGAGUGGCGAACGGGUGAGUAAAGCAUCGGAACGUGCCCAGUCGUGGGGGAUAACGUAGCGAAAGCUACGCUAAUACCGCAUACGAUCUGUGGAUGAAAGCGGGGGACCGUACGGCCUCGCGCAAUUGGAGCGGCCGAUGUCAGAUUAGGUAGUUGGUGAGGUAAAGGCUCACCAAGCCGACGAUCUGUAGCUGGUCUGAGAGGACGACCAGCCACACUGGGACUGAGACACGGCCCAGACUCCUACGGGAGGCAGCAGUGGGGAAUUUUGGACAAUGGGCGCAAGCCUGAUCCAGCAAUGCCGCGUGCAGGAUGAAGGCCUUCGGGUUGUAAACUGCUUUUGUACGGAGCGAAACGGCUUCCACUAAUACUGGGGGCUAAUGACGGUACCUGAAGAAGAAGCACCGGCUAACUACGUGCCAGCCGCCGCCGUAACAC
rnacentral:rRNA from 1 species